rnacentral:rRNA from 1 species
CGGGACGGGUGAGUAAUGCUGGGAAACUGCCUGAUGGAGGGGGAUAACUACUGGAAACGGUAGCUAAUACCGCAUAACGUCGCAAGACCAAAGAGGGGGACCUUCGGGCCUCUUGCCAUCGGAUGUGCCCAGAUGGGAUUAGCUAGUAGGUGGGGUAACGGCUCACCUAGGCGACGAUCCCUAGCUGGUCUGAGAGGAUGACCAGCCACACUGGAACUGAGACACGGUCCAG